rnacentral:rRNA from 1 species
UACGAAGGGUGCAAACGUUGCUCGGAAUUAUUGGGCGUAAAGCGCACGUAGGCGGCAUUGCAAGUCGGAUGUGAAAUCCCUCGGCUUAACCAAGGAAGUGCAUCCGAAACUGCAGUGCUUGAGUACUUAAGAGGAUCGCGGAAUUCCCGGUGUAGAGGUGAAAUUCGUAGAUAUCGGGAGGAACACCGGUGGCGAAGGCGGGUCUCUGGGCCGACAUUGACGCUGAGGAGCGAAAGCGUGGGGAGCGAACAGG